rnacentral:tRNA from 1 species
GGAAAAUGCUCAAUGGUUAGAGCACUGGCUUCUCUACCAGAGGACCUGGGUUUGAAUCCCAGCAUCCA